AUAAUCAUGUACUCAAAAGGGAUUAACAACAUACUGGGGUCAAGCACAACUCUAAUCCUCAAUAACAUCAUUACAUUACAUAACUGUUUAAUACUAUUCAUUACAUUUCAAUAUUUAUCAUGUCCACCACUAGCUAUUACACAACCAUGACUUUACUCUAGCUGACCUCCUGGUCUAUCCCGUACCUGCAUACCUGGGGAUUAGGUAAAUGGGGUGAGCUACUAGAACCCAGUGAGUAGAAACAUAAAACAUCAUAUAUAAAACAUAUGCAUCUAUGGAAUGCAUCACAACACAAACAUGUCAUAUCAAGGAUGGACUUGUCACCAAUAGCCCUCUACAUAGCCAAUCGUGCCAGAAUGUAGAAUGGGUCAUGGUCUUUCACUUAAACAUAACAUUCCAAAGUGCCAGAACGUAAAAUGGGUCAUGGUCUUUCUCUUACAUAGUGCCAGCGAACGUAGAAUGGGUCACACUGGUCUUUUAUUCCGUACCGUACAUAUCAUAUCCUCACAUCAUAGAUCGAGGGCUAUGGAUCAUCCAAUAUCCAUCCGCACCAACAUAAUCAUAUGCAAUGCAACAUAUUCGUGAAUUCUAGUGCAAACAACCUAUUAUAUAACAUGGCAAUUAUGAUGCAUGAAUCAUGCCAAAACCUUCAUUAUUUGCUUAAAAACAUAAAGAGUCAUUCUACUCACCUUUGGCUAGCUCUGACAAGACUCUGAAGCAGUUGUCUCACUGCUGGGGUCCUCGGUUCCUCGGGUCCGAAUCUACACAGGUGGACUCAAAUGAGGGACCAACAUCCAUGAACAUGACUCUAAAAUACUCCCCAAAAACCCCCUAAAACACCUUAAAACAAUCACAUAAAUCAUGCAAAGGAAGGCUGAAUAGGGCACUUUCGGCGGCCGAAAGUCCCUCCAGAGCCGAAAGUCAUGCACCUUCGGCGGCACUUUCGGCGGCCGAAGGUUCCCUCUAGAGACGAAACUCAUGCAUGUUCGGCGGUACCUUCGGCGGCCGAAUCUCCCAUCCAGAGCCGAAAGUCCACUUUCGGGGGCAGGGUUCGGCAGCCAAAGGCUGGCCUCCACAGGCAGGUUCGGCGGCCGAAAGAGCCUUCGGCUGCCGAACCUGAGUUCUUUCCAAGGGCAGAACUCAGCCUCUUUCAUGCAUAAAAACCUCCCAGACCAUUCACACAUGCAUUUACCUAUUCUACAACAAGCAAACUCAAGCCAACAAGCAUAUAGGGGUCUCAACUAACUUAAACCCCAACCAAAAUACAUCAAACAACCCACAUUGCUCAUAAACAUAACAUAAACCCAUAAACUCAACAAUAACCUAAACAUGCAUUUCUACCCCAUAGAUCUUCAUAAAACUUGUUUAAAACAUACAAGGAAGGUUGGAUCUAAGCUUACCUCUUGAAGAUCGAGAGGAAAGACGAUCCUAGCUUGGAGAUGGGGAGAAAUCAACUUUUUGGUCUCCAAGCUUCCAAAACUUGCUCUUUUGCUCAAAUAUCUUCAAACCAAGUGAAAACUCUUAAGAAAAUCAUGAAGAUUCGAAGGAAGAAGCUCAAAAUCGAUGAGGGACGGCGGAGAACUCACCUUGGCCGAAAACGGAGAGAAAAGCUCACCCGUUCGGACAUGAGGACCCCUUUAUAGGUGGCUGGCCAGGCCACUUUCGGGGGCCUAACGUGCCUCCGCAUGCAUGCCAUGUUCGGCGGCCGAACAUAAGGUUCGACGGCCGAACCUGGACUUCCCUCACUCAUGCCUUCAGGGGCCUAAAGCAUUCCCGAAAUGCAUGCAUGUUCGGCAGCCGAACUUGAGGUUCGGCAGCCGAACCUGGGUCUUCCUCCAAUGUUAUUUUCAUACAAAACUCAUUUUCUUUCUUGCUUAAAACCAUAAAAUACAUUAAAACAUUUUAUGAAAACAUGGUUUUACCUUUCUAGAGGUUUUCGACAUCCGAGAUUCCACCGGACGGUAGGAAUUCCGAUACCGAAGUCUAGCCGGGUAUUACAAUCUAAGGCUAACUGCUCCAUAUCAUUCCCUUCCACUUAUAAAAAACUUGAUCUCGAGUUGUCAUUAGUAGGAUAAUAUUGAAAUAGAUCCGCAACGUUAAACGUUUUGAAAAUUUUCAUAUGAUCUUGGAGGCCAAAAAUAUAGGUAUUGUCAUUAAUCUUCUGAAUGAUCUGGAAUGGACCAUGUCCUCCACCACGUUCUUUACGCAAAUACACCAUAACUUGAUCACCGAUAUUGAAGGACUUGAAACGCCUAUAUUUAUCAGCUACAGCUUUAUACUUAUUAUUGGCUUCCGUAAGGUAUUGUUGUACCUAUUUGAAAAAGUCCACUCAUUGAUUUACCAGGUUAGUUGCUGCAAUACUGUUAUGAAAGCUUGUAGGAAGGGCAAUAAGGUCAACCGUAUGCGCAGAAAUUUUUCUGUAUACAACUGCAAAAGUGACAUCUUUGUAGAGCUGUGAACAGAACUGUUGUAAGUAAAUUCUGCUUGGGCAAGAGCAAGAUACCAAGCAAUUUUUUUAUAACUGCAGAUGUAACGUAGAAGAUUGCCAAAAGUGCAGUUCACCACUUUAGUUUGGCCAUCAGUUUGGGGAUGGGCAACACUACUCUAUCAAAGUUUAGUCCCAAAACACUUCCAUAAAGUCACCCAUAAGUGAGCUAAGAACUUCAUAUCUUUGUUAGAAAUAAUGGUCUUAGGAAUGUCAUGCAAACGAACAACUUUCUGGAAAAAUAAUUUUGCAAUAUAAGAAACACCAUUAGUUUUAUUGCAAGGAAUAAAAUGUGCCAUUUUGGAAAACCUAUCAACAACAAAAAUAGAAUCAGAUCCACAUUGAGUAUGUGGAAAGACAAGAACAAAAUCAUAGACUAGUCCUCCUAAGGAUAUUCUAGAAUAGGCAAUGGAAUGUAUAAGCCUAUAUUCUACGAAUGACCCUUCUGAGUUUGACAAAUUGCGUAUUUUUGGACCACCCGACCUGUAUCUUUUUUCAAUUGUGGCUAAUAAAAAUGCUCCUCUAAACCGGCAGUAGUCUUAUCACACCCCAAAUAACCACUCAAACCUCCGCCAUGGAUCUCUCGAAUUAAUUUUUUCCGCAGAGAAAAGCGAGGAAUGCAUAACCUGUUCUCCUUAAAAAGAAAUCCAUCAUGUAUCAAAAAUCCAUCAGCAAGUUGGCAAGCCUGGACCUUCGCCUAUAUAUCAGCAAAAUCACCAUCUGCAUCAUACAAAUCCUUUAGAAAUUCAAAACCUACAACCCUCUAACUAACCAUAAUCAACAAACCUACGUAAAGCAUCUACUACCAUAUUACUAUGGUCAGCCUUAUAUUUUAUGACAUAAUGAAAAGCUCCAAAAUAAGUUGCCCAUCGAGUAUGCAUCUUAUUCACAUGUUUUUGAGUUUUAAAGUGAAUCAAAGAUUGAUGAUCUGUGAGAAUAAUAAACUCCCGCCUCAUCAGAUACUGUUCCUAAGUUUUAAAGACCCGAAACACUGCAUAUAAUUUCUGCUCAUAAGUAAACUACUUCUUCCUAGCAUCAUUCAAUUUAUCACUAAAGAAGGCAAUAGGCCUAUUAGAUUGCGAUAACACACCGCCAAUCCCAACUCCACAAACAUCACAUUCAACCUUAAACAGUUUAUCAAAAUUAGGUAGAGCAAGAAUAGGGCAGAAGUAAGCUUAUCUUUAAUCUCCUCAAAACUCUUAUUCCAAGUGUCAGUCCAAGUAAAUUUCUGCACUCUCUCUUUCAAACAAUCUGUGAUAGGGGCAACAAUACUACUGAAAUUUCUAAAAAACUGCCGAUAGAAAGUAAUAAGUCCAUGAAAGCUGCAAACUUCUAAAAUAUUUUUAGGAAUGGGCCAGUUCUGUAUUGCUUCUACCUUCUUCUCACCAACAUGUAUCACUAUUGCACUAACAACAAAUCCAAGAAAUAGAAUAUGCUCCGUCAUAUAGAUGCAUUUCUCCACCAAUUGCUUAACUAUCAGAUUCUCACAACUGCAACUAUCUAUAAUUAGUCUGCAAAUCGCUUCUCCCACUCGACAUUUUUCCUAGAAAAUCUUCUUUCUUUGCUUCUCAUCCUCCUGUUUCCUUGAGCAUAAAAUUUUCUUCACUACAUAGGUGAUCUUUCCAUCUUCAGAACCAGUAAUAGACCCAUCAACUUCGUUCACUUCCUCCUCAGAUUCAAUCAACUCCUCAACCACAUUAAUCUAUCGACGAUCAUUAUUAACUCCUAUGCAUUCUAAACAAUUAUUUGGUCGAUGUCCAAGUUGUCUGCAAUGAUAACAUAUGUCUCCGGUUAGUUUCUAAUAAAGAUUGGUCUUACCUCCUUUGUCUGUUGUAUUGAUUACUGCCCUUCCCUUAUUUUCUCUUCUUAAUUUCACAGUAUUCUGAUGAUUGCUAGAAUUUACAACUCUAGAAGGCUAUCCGCUGUAAUUACCUCUAUACUAUUAAGUUGUUGUCGAACCAGAAUUUCAGUAAUUAAAAUUUCAAUUAGAAGGUUGUCGAGGCUACCAUUCAACACAUUAUUUCGCUCUUUUCGCCAUCUCAAUGGCAUCUGCUAAAGUGAAAAUCGCAGCUACUCUCAUCAUACAAUGAAUUUUGUGAUUCAGUCCCCUCUGAUAAUGAGCAACUUGUUGGGUUUCGUUCUCACAGUUAUCGCACCUCGCCUACAACCUCAAAAACUCCUUUGUAUAUUCAUCCACCCUCCGGCUCCAUUGAAUACAGUCAUGAUACCAGUUAUACAAAACCCAGGCAUGAUCACUAGGCAAAAAUCAAUGUUCAAUCAUCUGCUUUAUCAAUAGCCAGUUUCAUAUAGGUUCCAAACUCCUGCGAUAGCAUUCGUUUUGAAUAAAAUUCCACCAUGUUGUUGCACUACCCUUUAAUUUGUAAGCCACAAUUGGAACCUUUCGAUCAUCUUCUAUGUUCAUAACUUCAAAAAAUCGAUCAACCUCCGGUAACCAAUGAAGGACAGAUUCUACAUCUAACGAACCAGAAAAGUUUUGAAGGUCUAUCUUUAUCUUGUAACUUUCGUGAUGAUCAUGUUGGGGAUUUGCGACUACAGUAUUUGGAACUGGCUGUGGGCGUUCGGCUAUGGCGGGUUGGUUGUUACCUCGUUGUAGGGCUAGCUAUCCAAUCAUCUUCCUCAAUUUUGCCAAGGAUGCCUCAAUUGCAGCGAGUCGUGCCUUUUGGUUGUUGGCCAUAGAUGAACUUCACUCUGAUACUAACUGAAAUAUGACUAAUUAGACUCCAUCAGGAAUUUUAACCUUGGCUGAGAUGAAAUUUAAAAAAUGAAAAAUUAGAAACCAAAAUUUCUUAUUGAAUUCUUAAAAAUUGAAAAGUGUGUCAAAUAAUCAAGAAAAUGACUAUUUAUAAUAGAAAAACCAUAAUAUAAAGAACUAUGAAAAAUCUAAAAAAAAUAAUUAAAAUGUAAAAUUGACUUCUAAACGAUUAAAUUUUUGUCUCAAACUUUAUGAUAGAUCUACGGCUUUUAUCACACUUUUGAAAAUCAUACGUUUUGAAAUUUUCUUUUCAAAAAACUAUCAUGCGCCUUCAACGAACAACGGCAGCAGAAAUUAACUCCGAUUCAAGUCUGCUACAAAAUCCAAAACUAAUUACUUUGUAUCACCAAUUUGGCUCGAUUAUUAGCCAGGUUGUGACUUCUUUUCCUCAAUCUUAAUGGCGAUAAUAUCGAAAAAACCAUGAUAGUGUUAUGGAAAAAAAUACUUUAAAAUUAGAUCGGAAGGUUAAAUUUAGCCAACCAUACUCCUUUGUGAACUUGUCUUAAGAUAUGUGUGUGCGCGUGCAUGCAAAAUUUCAUAUUUAAUAAUGGAUAGAUAUAUAAUUGGAAUAUAACUUUAUUAUUAACUUUGACAUCUAAUAUUUAUACUUAUAAGUAUAAAUAUUUAAUUUUUAAAUUUUAUAAAAAAUAACUAUUAAAUUUUUAAAUUUUAUAAAAUGUCUGUUCAAGAACGAGAGAGAGAGAGAAAACAUUCUGGUUUUAUUUCAAAUGGAAAGAAAAAAUGUCGUUACAUCACAUUUCUGGAAGCUUGUAUCUUCCUUAUAAGACAAAAGACCAGCUCGUGCACAUCAUGUGCAAGAGACCAAAAAAACAGUCCUAAAACGACACUGUAUAAACAACAUACAUAACCAAAGUGAAACUAACAGAAAACGAUGUAGUUUUGACAUGUCACUAUUUAACUCAUAAACAUUCAUAUUAUAUAUAAUUUAAUUCGAGUAUAGAAACUGAAUAGUUAUAUUUUUAUAAAAGUAAAGUAUCAAAAGUUAAUAAUUAAAAAAUUAGAAUAUGGACUGAUAUUUUACAUAAAAGUUAGGGAUUAAAUUAUAUAUUUAGUCUUAAUAAUUAAAUAUUUAAUUUCAUUAAAAAUAAACAUAAUUGUAUUAGAACGCUAAUGAAAGGUUUAUUUUAACCUUACAACUUAGGUCUAAUAGUCAUAUUGGUCAUUUAUAAAUUUUUGCAGUCAAAUAAAUUCCUCAAAUUUCUAAUUAAAUUAGUGAAACUAGAUAUCUAAUUCUAUAAAGUUCAUAAAAGUAAUUAUUUAAUAUGUAUUAUCUCUAAAUUAUAAAAUUCUAGGUUUUUAUCAUUCAAAAUUAAAUUUUAAUUUACCAAAAUUAAUCAUAGAUUCAAAAUUAAUUAUCUACAUGCAUACGCUAUAUAACCAAUAAAAUAAAUAAUGUAAAUAUAAAAUAACAAAGAAAUUAAAGGGAUUUACAUGUUUUUGCAGUAUUUAGCUCUUUCAUUUUACGAGAAAAGUAGUCGGUGAAUGCGUUACAAGGGAGUUUAAAUGUCAUUUAAUCGUAAUUUUAAUUUCAUGGCAUUAUAAAAGUAUUGUAUUACUUACCAUAAAAUAUUAAUUAUGCAUAGGGGUGAGCAUUUGGUCGGUUCGGUUUAAAAUUAAAUCAAACCGAAUAAAUCGAAAAUUGAAAUUUUAAUAUUUAUGAAAAUCAAACCGAACCGAUUUUGAUCAGGAACCGAAUCAAACCAAACCGGUCUGAUUCGGUUCGAUUCGGUUCGGUUUGAUCCGUUUCGAUUUUUAAUAAUUUUUUAUUUUUUACACUUUAUUUUUAAUAUUGUAAAAUUUAAUUAAAAUAUUUUAAUUUUAAUAUAAUUUAAUUUCUCUAUAUUAUUAAAAAUAAUAUAUUAUUAUCACUAAUCGGUUCGGUUCAGUUUUUUCGAUUUUUUUUUAUUAAAACCGAACCGAACUGAAAUAACUGAAAUUUUUAAAAUUAAAAAUCGAAUCGAGCCAAAUUGAAUAAAAAACCGAAUCGAAUUUUAAAAUUAAUUCGAUUCGAUCAAUCUUUUCAGUUUGAACCGAAUACUACUUAUCCCUAAUUAUGCAUACAAAAUAUAAAUUUUAUGUGAAAAUAAAUUUUUAAAAAAUAAACCAUUUAAAUAAAACAAAAUCUUGUUAAAAAGUAAGCAUUCCAAUAAAAGGCUAUAGCACACAUACUUUUUUUUUUUUUUUUAUGAUGUUGGGAUUUAUGGGUAUGCUUAAUUGCAUCAAACAAAAAAGUUCCAAUUGAGUGGCUCAUAAGCUACUUUUCUCUCUUAUGGAUAACUUGUGAAGUACACUAAGUUCAGUAUUUAAGGAGUAUAAAACUUUAUAAUAUAUUAUUAAAUGGAGUGGGACAUCUCCACCCACACCAAAUCUCUUCCAAGUUAAUAAUAAUUUAUUUAUUUAUUUAAUUAUUUACUCACACCUUGUGUAGAAGCAUCUUCUUAUGUUUGACAAAAGGAAAGAAUUAUUAUUAUUAUUAUUAUUACUAUUAUUCCAUCGAUUAUUAUUAAUAUUGAUUGUUGGUAGCGAAAUAUUAAGUGACAAUUUAAGUCUUGUAAAUACGAUGUUUGUAAUUUAUAAAAAUUCAAAAAUAAAAAAUCAACAGAACAAUCCCUACUCGCCUGAAUCUCACUGACCCUUGCUGCACACUAUCGAUUGUUGCUCAUAAUCCGUGCUGCUCCCAUCGUCGACCGAUCUAUCGUUUCUUUCGUCGGCGCAUUGCUUUCCGUUUCUUGAUGCUCCCGUUGCCUAUCUUUCCCACGAUAGCGUCGCUCUGGAAUUGAUUGUUGUUGUCGUUGCCUGUCGAUUCGUUAUCUGUUGCCCUGGUUCCUCACGUCAUCUGCCGCUCUGGUGCACGCCACUCGCUGCUGCUACUAUAUCUAUGCUGUUUGUGAAGGAGAAAAUAUUUGUGAUGGAAAGAAGAUGAAAAAAUUUUAAAAAUUUGAAAGGUAGAGUAAUUUUUAAGUAUUUUUAAA
rnacentral:lncRNA from 1 species